rnacentral:rRNA from 1 species
AUUGAACGCUGGCGGAAUGCUUUACACAUGCAAGUCGAACGGCAGCACGGGGGCAACCCUGGUGGCGAGUGGCGAACGGGUGAGUAAUACAUCGGAACGUGCCCAGUCGUGGGGGAUAACGUAGCGAAAGCUACGCUAAUACCGCAUACGAUCUCUGGAUGAAAGCGGGGGACCGCAAGGCCUCGCGCGAUUGGAGCGGCCGAUGGCAGAUUAGGUAGUUGGUGGGGUAAAAGGCUCACCAAGCCGACGAUCUGUAGCUGGUCUGAGAGGACGACCAGCCACACUGGGACUGAGACACGGCCCAGACUCCUACGGGAGGCAGCAGUGGGGAAUUUUGGACAAUGGGCGAAAGCCUGAUCCAGCCAUUCCGCGUGCAGGAUGAAGGCCCUCGGGUUGUAAACUGCUUUUGUACGGAACGAAACGGUCCUGGUUAAUACCUGGGGUCCAUGACGGUACCGUAAGAAUAAGCACCGGCUAACUACGUGCCAGCAGCCGCGGUAAU